CGGGUUCCAGCCAUUCUCCUGCCUCAGCCUCUGGAGUAGCUCUGACUACAGGCGCACACCACCACGCCUGGCUAAUUUUUGUAUUUUUUAGUAGAGACAAGGUUUCAUCAUAUUGUCCAGGCUGGUCUCAAACUCCUGACCUCAGGUGAUCCCCUCGCCUCAGUCUCCCAAAGUGCUGGGAUUACAGGCAUGAGCCACCACGCUCGGCCUGAAUCAUAUUUUUUAUAAUAUAUUAAACACUAAGCAAUCAGAAAGAUAGAAAUUAAAACUUAUUCCCUUGAAAAUUUAUUCAGUAAACAUUUGUUGAAUACACAUUAUGUGCCAGGCUCUAUAUUAGAGCAUACAAAAAUAAAUUGAACAAAAUCUAUUGACAGUUUAGGGGGUAAGACAUUGUAUAAACAAAAAUACUUGUAAUUAUCUGCUAAUAAGUACAGAAUCACUUAUGGACAAAGUAUUGUGGGACCAGAGAAGAGGAAAUGUUACUGGAAAGGGGUCCCAAUCCAGACCCCAAAAGAGGGUUCUUGAAUAUUACACAAGAAAGAAUUCAGGACGAGCUCAUAAAGUGAAACCAAAUUUAUUAGAGAAGUAAAGAAAUAAAAGAAUGGUUACUCCAUAGGCAGAGCAGCACUGAGGGCUGCUUAUGGCUUUUUCUUUUUCUUUUUUUUUUUUUUAAUUGAGAUGAAGUCUCGCUCUGUCACCCAGGCUGGAGUGCAACGGCACGAUCUCGGCUCACUGCAACCUCCACCUCCCAGGUUCAAGUGAUUCUCCUGCUGAGCCCACAGAGUAGCUGGGAUUACAGAUGCGUGCCACCUCACCCAGUUACAUCUUCCUGAGGAUAGAGCCUACAUAGAAGUUCAGCAAAUAUCUGGUCUUUUCCACACCUGGGAAGAUGUGGGUAUAGGCCACUAUGUGUUUUCCUUUCAAAAUGAUACCUGAAGGCAGAGGGCGACCCUUUGACGUCUCAGGGCCAUAUAUCAGUUCCCUAACAGUGAAGCCCACAACAAGUAAUACUAGUUUGUAAUUUCUGAUAAUGACACAUGGAUUUCUGCCUAAUAUUAAUGAUCCAGUAAUUAAAAAUUUUCCUAAAAUUUUAUGAAAUGAAUCCAAACUUAUAGGUAGGAUGACUACGUAAAUAAUAGCAAAGCAGUGACCAAAAAUGCUGAGAGAAAAAAAGCAUGGGGAACAAAACCUAACAAAGAAUAUUUGUUUAUUAUCAGAGAUAAAUAAUAUAAAAUCAAAUUAAUUUACUUGUUUUUGAAAUUCAUUUUUGAAAAAGAACAAAAAUUACACACACAAAAAAGAAGCAGUAGAAUUAACACCUCAUUUUU
rnacentral:lncRNA from 10 species